GUGUUUCUAGGGGAGAAAAGGAGGCCCUGUUUAGUAGACACCUUGCUACCCAGUUCCAGCUGCCCAGGAGCCCAAAACUGCACAAACUGACCUGACGGCUGCUGUAGGCUGACCCUCAGCCCUGCUCCAGGCAGCCCAGGCCCAGGCAGCUCUUCUCUCUGGCAGCCCGGCCAGCCCCACUCACCGUGCAGCCGUCCUUCAGGGCAGUGUACGUGAACCUGCUGUUGCCCUCUGCCCGGAUCUCCACGUCGUUGGAGCCCUGGAUGAGCAGGGCCUUCUUGAGGUUACCAGCUGCUUCAUCCAGCCCAACAGAAAACUGGAGGAAAAUGUGGGGAAGGUGCUGAAAGUUCCCAGGGAGAAGAAAAGAAGGAGUCUGAGAAGCCAUCUCUGCUCAUCACCGAGGGCACCCAGGGAGAAGAAAAGGAGUCUGAGAAGCCAUCUCUGCUCAUCACCGAGGGCACCCAGGGAGAAGAAAAGAAGGAGUCUGAGAAGCCAUCUCUGCUCAUCACCGAGGGCACCCAGGGAGAAGAAAAGAAGGAGUCUGAGAAGCCGUCUCUGCUCAUCACCGAGGGCACCCAGGGAGAAGAAAAGAAGGAGUCUGAGAAGCCGUCUCUGCUCAUCACCGAGGGCACCCAGGGAGAAGAAAAGCAGGAGUCUGAGAAGCCAUCUCUGCUCAUCACUGAGGGCACCCAGGGAGAAGAAAAGGAGUCUGAGAAGCCAUCUCUGCUCAUCACCGAGGGCACCCAGGGAGAAGAAAAGGAGUCCGAGAAGCCAUCUCUGCUCAUCACCGAGGGCACCCAGGGAGAAGAAAAGAAGGAGUCUGAGAAGCCGUCUCUGCUCAUCACCGAGGGCACCCAGGUACUCACAU